rnacentral:precursor_RNA from 12 species
CAAAGUACCAAGAUGAAAUCCAGGGUGUCCCAAAAGCCUUAGUGUGGUUUUAAACCAUUAAGUCUUAAAACUGUGCAAAGGCUUUUGGGACAACCUGUAUCAAAUCCUCUCUGGCCACA